AACGAACGCUGGCGGCAUGUCUAACACAUGCAAGUCGAACGAGACCUUCGGGGCUAGUGGCGCACGGGUGCGUAACGCGUGGGAACCUGCCUUUAGGUUCGGAAUAACGCAGAGAAAUUUGAGCUAAUACCGGAUGAUGUCUUCGGACCAAAGAUUUAUCGCCUUUAGAUGGGCCCGCGUUGGAUUAGCUAGUUGGUGGGGUAAAGGCCUACCAAGGCGACGAUCCAUAGCUGGUCUGAGAGGAUGAUCAGGCACACUGGGACUGCGACACGGCCCAGACUCCUACGGGAGGCAGCAGUGGGGAAUAUUGGACGAGGGGCGAAAGCCUGAUCCAGCAGUGCCGCGUGAGUGAUGCAGGCCUUAGGGUUGUAAAGCUCUUUUACCCGAGAUGAUAAUGACGGUAUCGGGAGAAUGAGCUCCGGCUAACUCCGUG
rnacentral:rRNA from 1 species